UGGGAGCUCUUUUGUUCCGUUCGCACACCCGGCGGCCGUAGGGAACUCGCGGGGCACAGCCGGUCCAGGCCGGGGUGCGCAGGGCCGCGUGCGGACCUGGGCCAGCCCCGCUCAUUCUGGCGCGGCGGCUGGGGUUGUGCGUGACGUGGGGUGGACCCGAGUGGGAGCGGAACCUGUCGGAAGUCGGGUCUCCGCGGCCUCGCAGGCGGUCUGCUUCCCGAGUCGCUCAGUCGCCGUCAGGAGCUCUCGCGGGUUUGUCCCAGCGGCCGGAGGGAGCAAAGCCCCGGCCCAGGGCGCGCUGGGCACCAGAUCCUCGAGUCGCAGAGCGUGCUCUUCAGCUCCUUCCUCGUUAGUAUAGUGCUCGGCGCUCAGCCCUCUGUGGUGGCCAGUGGAUCCCGGCAGACCCCUGAUCCCGGAGAGGGCGGCGAAAAGUUCUAAAACUGAAGGCUACUGCGUUGGCCGGGAAUCGAACCCGGGUCAACUGCUUGGAAGGCAGCUAUGCUCACCACUAUACCACCAACGCCCGCUGGCGAACCUUGCUCCCGACGCUAGAACUUCCGAACGUGCGCAGGCGCGGGGCCUGCGAGAAGCCCCCUUCGAGCUCAAGCGCAGGACGCACGUCAACGAAGCCGCGACCGAGGCGGCAGGUGACACGCAGCCUACAGAUGAGAAACCGAAGUUCAGAGGACCUAUGUGAAGGGGCUUUCGGAGUCACUGGGAGAGCCUCGGUUAUAUCUAAGACUUGUCUGGGGGGCCAGGACUGCCGCGACGCCGCGUGGGCUUUGUCACCCCCAGAAACAAGUCCCAAACGCACAGAUCGCUUCUCUGUUGGGCGAACCCGAUGUGUCGCAAGGUUGAAGAACUGAGCCUUGCGCCAAGCGCGCCUGAGCACAUCUACCCACAGUAGGAGCUUUGAGUCCUAGGUGUUCACUCCCGGCUCUCGAAAGGACUCGGACAGAACCUUCGGGGCCGGCCCUGAGGCUGUGGCUCCGCCCCUUAUCGCUGACGAUCGAUCUGUUCACGAGAUCCGUGCAGCCCCCGGCUCGAGGAGGCCUCGUGGCGCAACGGUAGCGCGUCUGACUCCAGAUCAGAAGGUUGCGUGUUCAAAUCACGUCGGGGUCAUGGAAGCUCGCAAUUUUAGAUGUAUGUUUAUAUUUUUCCGGAAAAGAAAGGGGGGGGGAAAAAAGAUUUGUUUCUACGUAUGAAAAAAAUACAAACCUCAGCGUUCCUGUGCUUUUGCUUUUCCCAAAGUGUAUGGAUUUUCUCCUAAAAUACAAAUGUUGGAACGUCUAUUGCA